AUGACCCCCGCCCUGCUUCCCCUCGCCCCCUCGCCUCCUUAUCCAAAGCCACCACGGCUAUGCCACAAACCCAGCCCCGCGCGCCCGCUCUACCGGUGCGACGCCACACGCCGCGACUUCGCUGUCUACACCGCCUCCGCUGCCGCAGCCGCAAUGAGCCCCGCCGCCGCUACUGCGGCAGAUGAGGCGCUCCCUUCGGCGUCACCCUCACCGACGCCUCACCCUCCAAACGGCGGGGCUACCUCGUUGCUGGUCGGCAUCGCAAACACGAGGUCGUGGUCGCAGUACUACGGCAGCGGCUUCUCCAUCCGCGUGCCGCCGUCCUUCGAUGACAUCUUGGAGCCCGAGGAUUUCAGCGCCGCCAUGACCUAUUAUGGCGACAAGGCCAAGGUCAGGGCGUACGCAGCUCGGUUCGCAUCUCCAGAUAGGUUAGAACUUGUAAGCGUGGUAAUCAAGCCAUCUAAUCAGCUCAAGAUCACAUUCCUAGAGGCCAAAGAUAUAACAGAGUUGGGCACUCUAAAGGAGGCGUCCAAGUUAUUUGUACCUGGCGGUGCAAAAAUAUACUCAGCUCGAACAAUUAAAGUUAAGGAUCAGGAGGGUAUCAGGACGUAUUACUUCUAUGAAUUUCGUUUUGACAGACAACAUGUUGCUCUAAUGGCCACCGUGGAUAGUGGGAAGACAUAUAUCGCUGCCGCCACUGCUCCAGAGACGAGGUGGGAGACGGAUGGAGUGACAUUGCGCUCGGCUGCUGUAUCUAUGUCUCUCGCAUGA
rnacentral:rRNA from 1 species